GUUGAUCUAUCUACAAGUUCGG
rnacentral:siRNA from 1 species